UCCUACGGGAGGCAGCAGUGGGGAAUCUUCCACAAUGGGCGAAAGCCUGAUGGAGCAACGCCGCGUGAGUGAAGAAGGUCUUAGGAUUGUAAAGCUCUGUCCUUAGGGAAGAACCGUGGGUAUAGAAAAUGAUACCCACCUGACGGUACCUUUGGAGGAAGCACUGGCUAACUACGUGCCAGCAGCCGCGGUAAUAAUCAAGCUU
rnacentral:rRNA from 1 species